UACGUAGGUGGCAAGCGUUGUCCGGAAUUAUUGGGCGUAAAGCGCGCGCAGGUGGUUCUUUAAGUCUGAUGUGAAAGCCCACGGCUCAACCGUGGAGGGUCAUUGGAAACUGGGGAACUUGAGUGCAGAAGAGGAGAGCGGAAUUCCAAGUGUAGCGGUGAAAUGCGUAGAGAUUUGGAGGAACACCAGUGGCGAAGGCGACUUUCUGGUCUGUAACUGACACUGAGGCGCGAAAGCGUGGGGAGCAAACAGG
rnacentral:rRNA from 1 species